rnacentral:rRNA from 1 species
GAUGAACGCUGGCGGCGUGCCUAAUACAUGCAAGUCGAGCGAACAGAUGAGGAGCUUGCUCCUCUGACGUUACCGGCGGACGGGUGAGUAACACGUGGAUAACCUACCUAUAAGACUGGGAUAACUUCGGGAAACCGUAGCUAAUACCGGAUAAUAUAUUGAACCGCAUGGUUCAAUAGUGAAAGACGGUUUUGCUGUCACUUAUAGAUGGAUCCGCGCCGCAUUAGCUAGUUGGUAAGGUAACGGCUUACCAAGGCAACGAUGCGUAGCCGACCUGAGAGGGUGAGCGGCCACACUGGAACUGAGACACGGUACAGACGCCUACGGGAGGCAGCAGUAGGGAAUCUUCCGCAAUGGGCGAAAGCCUGACGGAGCAACGCCGCGUGAGUGAUGAAGGUCUUCGGAUCGUAAAACGCUGUUAGUAGGGAAGAACAAAUGUGUAAGUAACUAUGCACGUCUUGACGGUACCAAAUCAGAAAGCCACGGCUAACUACGUG